GAUGUCAAAUGGCAGGCUGUGCCUACCAUCAGCUGUGCUCCACGUUAUGUCUCCUGUCUUGACUACGCUGUGGUCUUCUCCGAGCUGAGAAAAGACAGUGACAAUGGAGAAAGGAAAGCCCUGAACAAGCGUUUCUGGCAUGAGGAAGAACCAGCUUCAGCGUCUCACCCUGCCACGUGUAGAACCUCGUGUUUCCUGUACUUGCUGGCACACUUGACUGCAGCCCUUCCUUCUCCAACAUGUCUCUGAGAUGCUGUCCCCAAGCAUGCUGGCAUGUUUGCACGAAACAUGUAUGAUCCAUCGGCCCAAUUUCCAUCUGCUACAGGAGUACUUUCUGUCUCUGAGAAUCCAGCCUGCCCAUGGAGAUAGGCUCUCUCGCAGAGUGCAGUGGGUUUUUGCAUGCUAAUCUACCUUGAGCAGAGUAUUAAGCAACAGAGGGCGCACAGGGUAAGAGUGUUAGAAAUGGAUUAACAUAAAACUACAUACCAUUAUCACGGUCUCACUUUCCUAGGUUUAAUGAGUGACAUUCCUUAAUAUUACUAUUAAAUUUAUAGCAGUGAGAUAAGCAUCACAUUUUCCUAUGAUUGCAUUAAAGUUGAAGGAAAAAAUAUCAGGAGAUGUGCCAAAUGGAAUUGAAUGUCGCUUAAAGGAUGCGUGGGAUGGAAGAAGCAACUUGCAGGGAACAUCUGUUUCUGCUGGACCUUGUCACUUUUCUGUCAGUUGGAACUCUGAGUUAACCAGAUUCCUUUAAAUUUAAAAAGUGUUGUGUUUAAGAUAUAGCACAGUUCAAAUAUAACCAUCCACUAUGCUGGAGUUUGUACAUGUCAUGGAACUACUUUCUAGGUGAGGACAGAACUUGGUGCGAACAAAACUGCUUGUAUUUUCUUUCAGUACGGAGUGUGAGUGAGAGCUGGAGGGAUUUAAAGUGGUUUAAUCCUCACUGUUCUUCAUAUUCUCACUGUUUCACAGGUCGGUGAGCUGCAGCAUUUGUGUUGUAUUUGAAAAUACAUAUCUUCAGUCUGUUGGCCAGAUACCAAAACUUGUCCAAAAAUACAACCAAAAGACUUACUUAGGCUUUCAGAGUCUUAGUUACUUUGUUUGGUUUACAUAGUCCAAAAAAACAUACAUCAACAUAAGAGCAAAUGUCAGUCUGUACUUCUGUGCAAGCUCUUUGUGGACACCCUAAAGAGCCAAACUAGCCCAAGGAGUUGGGGCAGCAUUUCCUAACCCCAGUGUGUCCUCCGCUUGCUCUCUGAUGGAACCGUGGGAUGUGCUGGGGAGGAAGGAGAGCUUCUGUCAUCUCUUGAAAGCAACAACACACAUGCUCUGCUGUCUUCCCCAAGACUUUUCCCUAAAAAAAAAAGUACUUCUAUCGUGGUACACUUUGAUUCUUUAAUUUCCCAACGUUUUUUAAAAGGAAAGCAAAUAUUUCCUUGAAACAUUUUUAAUGGAACAGAUGUGAAUUUAUCUAAAAACAUUUUGGUGGCAAAUGUUAGACUUGUGUUACCAUGAAAUGCUUUUAAUAUGAAAGAGAUCACAGCAGUUAAAUUUUUUUA